CAGUGUUACAGCUCUCUUAGAAUAUAUCUAGCAGGUUUUCUGGUCUUCACUGGAAAGCCUCC
ensembl:snRNA U7 U7 small nuclear RNA